CUCAAUUUGGCGUGAUCUCAGUGUAGUUGAAGACAACUGUAUUUGUUCACCUCUUUUCGUUAAAAUGCAGAAUGAGCAAAGUUGGAUGUAUAACAAGAAUUCAGGUAUAAUGCAGAAUGAGGAAGAGGAGGCGGAGGAGGAGGAUGAUGAUAAUCACAAUGAGGACUUUGAUUUUUGAUGAUGGGGUUGGUAAGGCGAACUAAAGGUCCGAGAAAAAA